rnacentral:rRNA from 1 species
AGCAGCCGCGGUAAUUCCAGCUCCAAUAGCGUAUAUUAAAGUUGUUGCAGUUAAAAAGCUCGUAGUUGAAUUUCGGGAUCAAUUGAUUGGUCAUGCCUUGGUAUGAACUGGUCAUAUUGGUUCUCACCUUCUAAUGAACCAUAAUGUCAUUCACUUGAUGUUAUGGGGAAUUAGGACUGUUACCUUGAAAAAAUUAGAGUGUUUAAAGCAGGCUUACGCUUGAAUACAUUAGCAUGGAAUAAUGAAAUAGGACAUCGCAUUCUAUUUUGUUGGUUUCUAGGAUCGAUGUAAUGAUUAAUAGGGAUAGUUGGGGGCAUUAGUAUUCAAUUGUCAGAGGUGAAAUACUUGGAUUUAG